rnacentral:rRNA from 1 species
AAGUCGUAACAAGGUCUCCGUUGGUGAACCAGCGGAGGGAUCAUUACCGAGUUUACAACUCCCAAACCCCUGUGAACAUACCUAUUGUUGCCUCGGCGGUGCCUGUUCCGACAGCCCGCCAGAGGACCCCAAACCCUGAUUACAUUAAAGAAUUCUUCUGAGUAACCGAUUAAAUAAAUCAAAACUUUCAACAACGGAUCUCUUGGUUCUGGCAUCGAUGAAGAACGCAGCGAAAUGCGAUAAGUAAUGUGAAUUGCAGAAUUCAGUGAAUCAUCGAAUCUUUGAACGCACAUUGCGCCCGCUAGUAUUCUGGCGGGCAUGCCUGUUCGAGCGUCAUUUCAACCCUCAAGCCCCCGGGCUUGGUGUUGGGGAUCGGCGAGCCUCCGCGCCCGCCGUCCCCUAAAUCUAGUGGCGGUCUCGCUGUAGCUUCCUCUGCGUAGUAGCACACCUCGCACUGGGAAACAGCGCGGCCACGCCGUUAAACACCCAACUUCUGAAAGUUUGACCUCGGAUCAGGUAGGAAUACCCGCUGAACUUAA